AAAGGUGAAAAGUAAAGAAAGAUAAAGAUUUUUGAUAAUAUAAAUAGUUUAUAUUUUUAUGAAAAAUGUCAUAUAUAUCAUCUGAUAAUAUUAGUGUUAUUUGUUCGAUAAAUAAAUUCAUGAUAUCAUAUAUUUGUUAAUUAAUUUUUUAAAACUAAAUAUACAUCAAAUUUAUGAUAAUUAAAAUAAUUAAAAUAAUAUUGUGAACAGGUGUGACACAUUAUUAAUUUAUAAUAAUGUGAUUGAUAUAUUGUAAAUAUAUAUAUAAUACUUUAAAUCGAAUGCUGUUAUAGAAGAGCUAAAAUACGUUUAGAAUAUUCAAUUUAAAUGUCGUUUUUGCCGUCACGUUUAAUUAUAUUCCAACAGAUAUUCCGUGAAUUUAUAUUUUAUAAAUCAUAUUCGUAUAUAUAUACACAUACAUAUAUUAAUAAUAUAUUUAAAAAUACGAUGUGAAAUAUAAAUUAUAAAAAUGUAAACAAAUUUAAUGCAUAAUUUCAAAAGAUUGCUAAGAAUAAUACGUAAUAACACGUAACGUUAAUGAUUAUAACCUAUAUGAAUGUUGAAAAUUUGACAGUAAAAAAAAUAAAAAAAGAAAAUCAAUGAUUUGAAACAAUAAAUAUUUUAAUAAGUGGAUUAUGUCGAAGAUGAUCCGUUCAAUACGCGAAUUGAUUAUUCCGGAUUCUUUCUCAAAAAGUAUGACGUCUUUUGAAAAAAACGUAGAUGGAGAAUAAGAUGAUCAGCAAAAGACGAACGAAGACAAUGGAACGAAGAAUGAAACGAAUGGAGAUACGAUGAAUGCAGAAAUAUUGAGAGAAAUAGGGUUCGUGCGAAAUGCUGAGAAAAGGAAAAGAGAAAAGGAGAAGAGGACAUAGAGAACGAUGAGGACAUAGAGCGCAAAAGAAAGAGAAGAAAGAAAGAACGAUAAGAGAUGGGAAGGAGAAGAGCGGUUCGCGCGAAGCGAAUGACUGCGAUUCGUUCAAUUAUUGGUUGGCACCGAAAGUGCUGGGUCUGGCUCGCCUGCCAAAUGGGAAAUAGCCGGCGAACUGCGGAGACAAGCUACAGCCGAUGCUUCUACGAAUUCUGUGCGCGGGAAUCUUCGGAUUGUAUUUUCUAUUCUCUCACUGACUAUGGUAUAAACUAAGGGGAGUAUAGAAUCGCUCGUGCGACGUAAACGACAAUCGCCGAAUUAUAAUUUGACUUUCUAUAAUUUUUUCCCUUUCGGUAUCUUCUCUCAUAUGGACUCCGGCCUUUAUUAAGAAUCGAUAACGAAUGAGAUUCGUUGGGAUUAGGACUCAUGAAUCGUUUCAUCGUUUCAUCGAAUAAUGAAAUAUUACAUAUAAUUCUCUAAUAUGCGUCAUAUAUUACACUUAUUGUACACAGUUUAUAUAUUAAUGAUUCGAUGAUUAAUUCGAAAUUUGAAAAUUGGAAGUCAUUUUUUUGUUCGAUUUCGCAUAAUUUCGAGAGACUCCGUAAAAGUCUAAUAAUUUCAAUCUCAUUUUCCAUAAAUUUUAAUUAUCAUAGUUGUAAAAAUCUUUAUUAUUCUUUCGAAUAAUUAUGAUUUGUAUUUUUUAUACGAUUAUUUUAUACGUAUUAUUACUUUUUGUAGAAAGUUGUAAAAUUUUUUACCGAUCGAUCGUUUCUUUUUACAUUCUUUGCCCUUGUGUCGUUCUCAUGUGAGUUAUAACAUGCACUGAAACUGUAUAAAUGAUAUCAUUAACGAAGUUAAAGUGCUGACGCGUUGAGAAUAACUCGAACCGUUGAUCCACAAUUUUCUCAGUCGAGAUUCUUCACCUUUUGAGAUCGAUGCGUUCAUUUCCGAUAUCCCGUACCCUAUCGCCAUAGGUUAAACGAAGCACUGGUGGCCAUUCUACGGGAUUCAAAGAAUUCAAAGGAUUUAUUAAUUUUCAAAAUUUAUAUGUACGUUACAUUUACAUUUUACAUAUAAAUUUUGCUGAAUUGAAAAUAGUUUAGUAUGGUCAGUAAUUUCUCCAGAUUUUUGAUCAUACAAUUUUUUUAAGAUAAGAUUACAAUAUACAAUACAAUAUACAAUAUACAAUGUAUAUAUUGUAUAUACAAUAUACAAGAGUACAAUAUAAAUAGUUUUUAAUAUAAAUACUUUAAAAAUACAAUGAGAUUAGAAAAAUUAAAGAAUAAUUAAUACAUAUAAAGAAAUAAUAUUUAAAAUGUUAAAGAAAAUGAAAAGCAAAUUAAAGAUAUAUUUUCAAUAAUGGAGGACGUUGAAAAAUAGUCUCUUUUGUUUCUCAUCUAUUAAUAUUUUUGUUUCUCAUUUUUGUUACACAAAAUUGAUUUUUCAAAACUAUCACAAUAUAUAAAUUCGAUAAAGCAAUCGAAGUGUAACAUUAAUGAUAAAAGCACAAAUGUUGCAGAAAAUUUGAAAGUUAAAUAAUUUUUUAAAACGUUUCACAUCAAUAUAAAGAUACAUAAUAAAAUAUAUAGAAUUCUAUUUAAAAAUUUAAAGAUGACUUUUAUACGAUAAUUCAAAUUCAAACAUUUAUUAUCAUAAUAUAUGUCCAUCGAUAUCAUAAUUUUGUCUCAAACAUUUUAUUGAAUUUCUGAUAUUAAUAAAAAAAAUCGUAUUUAUAUAUCUAAAAUAUAUCCGACAUAUUAUAUAUUCGAAAAAUAUUUAUGUAUAAUGUAAUAAUGUAGAACAUAAAUAAUUUAAUACAAUGCAUAUUUAUUAUAUAUUUAGUCGAAUCGUAUGUAAUUGAUUAAAUUUAUAAUCUGUAUUGAUCGGCGAUUUUACGUGUAUCACAGUAUAUUUAAUUAAAAAAUAAAUAUAUUAAAAUGUUAUACAUUAUAUGUUAUAAGUAUACAUGUAUUUCAACAUAUAUGUUUCAAUAUAUUAAUAUAAAUGUUUUAAUAUAUGACUUAAUAUAUUGAAAAACACGAAAAUAUUAAUUACAUAUGUAUAUUUUAGAUUAUGAAUAAAAUGGAUAUUAGAAUUAAA